rnacentral:rRNA from 1 species
ACUCCUACGGGGAGCAGCGUGAGAUGUGCAAUGGAGGGAACUCUGAACCAGCCAUCCCGCGUGUAGGAAGACGGCCUUAUGGGUUGUAAACUACUUUUAUACAGGAAGAAACGUACCCUCGUGAGGGUGCCUGACGGUACUGUAGGAAUAAGCACCGGCUAACUCCGUGCCAGCAGCCGCGGUAAUACGGAGGGUGCGAGCGUUAUCCGGAUUUAUUGGGUUUAAAGGGUCCGUAGGCGGAUUAAUAAGUCAGUGGUGAAAUCCCAUCGCUUAACGAUGGAACUGCCAUUGAUACUGUUAGUCUUGAAUGAGGGUGCAGUGGUUGGAAUGUGUAGUGUAGCGGUGAAAUGCAUAGAUAUUACACAGAACACCGAUUGCGAAGGCAGAUCACUAACCCUAAAUUGACGCUGAGGGACGAAAGCGUGGGGAGCGAACAGGAUUAGAUACCCUGGUAGGAUAGCGU